GGUUGCGAUCAUACCAGCGCUAAUGCACCGGAUCCCAUCAGAACUCCGCAGUUAACCGCGCUUGGGCGAGAGUAGUACUAGAAUGGGUGACCCUCUGGGAAGUCCUCGUGUUGCAACCCUUU
rnacentral:rRNA from 1 species